AUGCAGAAAUACGGCCGACGGGUAUCUUGUACGGUGGGCCAGGUUUGUGGUGGAGGAGCACCUCCUUUAACGAUUCAAAACAGGGCCGUGGCUCAUGCCGUCAUUCCCGUCCUGAUCCGUGGCUCGUUUAGACCUCAGUACCCGAGUAAAUGGAGGGAUGGGUUGCUGGGCAGAGUUCUCUCCUACCUCCGGCUCCUGGUUUUUUCUAUUAUCGAAACCACCGUGCUGGAGGACGUUAACGAUGGCAACGUACUCAUGGAGCCACUACACUGCCAGUGGUCGCAACCGUUGCAGACCCGCUGCCGCCCAUGGCGGCAUCGAUUACUCGAUUUGUUAGAUGGACCCAAAAGCCCCAGCAUGGACUCGGAAGCUGAUGGCAUAUCUGGUCUUGCGUGCACAGUGAGGAUCGGUGCGGCCGCUGCCGCACCGGGAAGGUCACCUUGUCCUAAUCGCACUAGUGCACUGGAGAAGGCAAUUCAUGGUUUUGCGGAAAAUCCAGGAGAUGAUGUGAUCGUCCCUGCACUAGGAACUAGCUUUGAUUGUUUGAGUGAAGCCUUCGACUAUUGCCAUUGGACUUCGAUUCUUUUGGGUGAAGCAUACGACUUUUACAAGCUUCGAUUCUUUGACAAAUCUAUAUUUUAUAAAUGCGAGGAUUUGGGGGCGGAUGGUACUGGUCUCCUGGAUUCUUCAAUGGCGAGAGGGGUGAGCUUGCAGGACGGCGAAUCUAGGAGGGCUGCAUCCACUGGUGGGCAUGGAGAUCCUAUGCAGCCAAAUAAGGUAGCGUUACUGAUAGUUACGCCCAAAUGGAGCCUCUCACGCCUAGAGCUUUCACGGUCAGAUUUGUGUGCAGGGGGCGAAGGUGGGAGAUCACAGGAGGAUUCACUGCAGGCUUUCGAACAAUUGAUAGGCAAGAUGGACCUUAGAGCUCCAGGAUGGAGCUGCAGUGAUAACAAUAACAUAUACUCACCACAAAGAGGCCUCACGACAGGGCAAUCCUCUCACUAUCUCCACACAAUCAUCGUUUCCAUGGCGCCUUCCCUUUGCUCAACGUCGUCACCCGACCACUCCCCUCCUCUCCCUGCCACGAUCACCCCCUCCUCUCCCCUCCACAGCGUCAACACUCCUCCUCUCCACACCACCGAUGGAGCUUGUCUGCUCUUGUCCCCGCCGCCUCCCUUCCCUCGAAACAGAAAUUUCCACGUGUUUACACAAUGUGGAUUAAAUAAUGUUUAUAAACAUAAUGUAGAAAUCACAUCUUGCAUGUCCAAGCGCAAACCCCAUGAUAGCAUGGCCCCGCAAGAGCACACCUCAGCAAUCUCUUCCAUGUCUAUGGAGACGAGGGAGAAUCUGGACACGUACCUCCAUCGCAAGUGCCUCUCUGCCCCUCCCUGUGUCACCCUUCAUUACCUGUGUCUGCAGCGCCUAAAUCAGACGAUGGUUUUGCAACAAGAGACCUAUAAAGGAGCGCAGUGGCGGAGCUUCGUUGGGGCAAAGGCAUGCCGUGGCCCGCCCACCGUUGUGGCCAACACACGCCCGCCCAGUUUUUUGGUCUUAGCUCCGCCACUGAAGGAGCACAUCAGUUUUGCAGAUAAAAGAGGCAUUCAUCAUAACAGAACACAUUGA
rnacentral:rRNA from 1 species